GACGUAGGGGGCCAGCGUUGUUCGGAAUUACUGGGUGUAAAGGGCGCGUAGGCGGUCGUGACAAGUCACUUGUGAAAUCUCCGGGCUUAACUCGGAACGGUCAAGUGAUACUGUCGGACUAGAGUACAGAAGGGGCAACUGGAAUUCUCGGUGUAGCGGUGAAAUGCGUAGAUAUCGAGAGGAACACCUGCGGCGAAGGCGGGUUGCUGGGCUGAUACUGACGCUGAGGCGCAAAAGCCAGGGGAGCGAACGGG
rnacentral:rRNA from 1 species